CUUGCAAAGCCAAGUUUAUGAGUCUAAAUAAGCAAUAACCCAUCAUCCCUUGCGCGCUCAGAAUUUAAGGUUAAAAGUUUUUGGAAGGACAACUUUAAUUGAAUUAGCUGUAUUAAUAAGCAAUGUAGUUUUGUGGGGUUCUUUAUCAUUCUCUAAGCUUCAAAAAUAGUUAAAGUUCUAAGCAUUAUCCCAUUCCCAGUUAGCAUUUCGUCUGAUUCAAGCUAUACUUCAAUGUAGUCUGAAUACGGGCUUAUACACUGCCUACGUAUUAUAGCUACGUUCCAAGCCAC